AAGCUUCGUCUUAUUUAAAAUUUUUUUACAAUUAAUAUUUUUGUUUUUAUUAGAUGAUAAAUCAUGAAUAAUACUUUAUGUGUGACUUAUUUUUAAUUUCUUAAAAAGUUUUCAAAUAAGACGGAGUUU
rnacentral:pre_miRNA from 1 species